GACGAACGCUAGCGGCAGGCCUAAUACAUGCAAGACGAACGGUAAGUUGAGUAGCGAUACUUAGCCAAGAGUGUCGUACGGGUGCGUAACACGUAUGCAACCUACCCUAUACAGGAGGAUAGCCUAGGGAAACCUGGAUUAACCCUUCAUAGUAUUAUUGGAUGGCAUCAUUUGAUAAUUAAAACUGAGGUGGUAUAGGAUGGGCAUGCGUCUGAUUAGUUAGUUGGCGGGGUAAUGGCCCACCAAGACGAUGAUCAGUAGGGGUUCUGAGAGGAAGAUCCCCCACACUGGCACUGAGAUACGGGCCAGACUCCUACGGGAGCAGCAGUAGGGAAUAUUGGUCAAUGGAUGCAAGUCUGAACCAGCCAUGCCGCGUGCAGGAAGAAGGCCUUUCUGGGGUUGUAAACUGCUUUUGCCAGGGGAUAAAAUUUCCAUGCGUGGAAAACUGAAGGUACCUGGUGAAUAAGCCACGGCUAACUACGUGCCAGCAGCCGCGGUAAU
rnacentral:rRNA from 1 species